rnacentral:rRNA from 1 species
AGAUUAAACUGAAGAGUUUGAUCAUGGCUCAGAUUGAACGCUGGCGGCAGGCUUAACACAUGCAAGUCGAGCGGUAACAGAUCUAGCUUGCUAGAUGCUGACGAGCGGCGGACGGGUGA